AACGUAGGAGGCGAGCGUUAUCCGGAUUUACUGGGUGUAAAGCGCAUGCAGGCGGUUCGUUAAGUUGGAUGUGAAAGCUCCUGGCUUAACUGGGAGAGGUCGUUCAAGACUGGCGAACUAGAGGAUGGUAAGGGAAAGCGGAAUUCCGGGUGUAGUGGUGAAAUGCGUAGAUAUCCGGAGGAACACCAGUGGCGAAGGCGGCUUUCUGGACCAUGACUGACGCUCAGAUGCGAAAGCUAGGGUAG
rnacentral:rRNA from 1 species